rnacentral:rRNA from 1 species
AUGAGUCGUGGGGACUAGAUGUGGGGACCAUUCCACGGUCUCCGUGUCGUAGCUAACGCAUUAAGUUCCCCGCCUGGGGAGUACGGCCGCAAGGCUAAAACUCAAAGGAAUUGACGGGGGCCCGCACAAGCGGCGGAGCAUGCGGAUUAAUUCGAUGCAACGCGAAGAACCUUACCAAGGCUUGACAUAUACGAGAACGCGCUGGAGACAGCGAACUCUUUGGACACUCGUAUACAGGUGGUGCAUGGUUGUCGUCAGCUCGUGUCGUGAGAUGUUGGGUUAAGUCCCGCAACGAGCGCAACCCUCGUCCUAUGUUGCCAGCACGUCAUGGUGGGAACUCAUGGGAUACUGCCGGGGUCAACUCGGAGGAAGGUGGGGAUGAGGUCAAAUCAUCAUGCCCCUUAUGUCUUGGGCUUCACGCAUGCUACAAUGGCCGGUACAAUGGGCUGCGAUACCGCAAGGUGGAGCGAAUCCCAAAAAGCCGGUCUCAGUUCGGAUUGAGGUCUGCAACUCGACCUCAUGAAGUCGGAGUCGCUAGUAAUCGCAGAUCAGCAACGCUGCGGUGAAUACGUUCCCGGGCCUUGUACACACCGCCCGUCAAGUCAUGAAAGUCGGUAACACCCGAAGCCGGUGGCCUAACCUUUUGGAGGGAGCCGUCGAAGGUGGGAUCGGUGAUUAGGACUAAGUCGUACAAAGGGGA